AAGUCGUAACAAGGUAACCGUAGGUGAACCUGCGGUUGGAUCAUUACCAAUUUCUUUUUUGGGUGUUUUAAAAGAGUUUAUUCUCUUUUUUUUCCCCAAAAAUAAAACUACACCUUGUGAACCUUAAAAACGUAUUUUGGCGGCCCUCCAAAACCGUAGUUUUUAUUAACUACCUGGGCCGUCAGCUUCAAUAAAAACACCAAUGAUAACUUUUGUAUUACCAUGUCUCCAAAAGAUUCUCUUAGUGAAUCUUGUUUAAUUAAACCUUAAACAACUUUUGACAACGGAUCUCUUGGCUCUC
rnacentral:misc_RNA from 1 species